UACGGAGGGUGCAAGCGUUAUCCGGAUUCACUGGGUUUAAAGGGUGCGUAGGUGGGCAGGUAAGUCAGUGGUGAAAUCUCCGGGCUUAACUCGGAAACUGCCAUUGAUACUAUCUUUCUUGAAUACCGUGGAGGUCAGCGGAAUAUGUCAUGUAGCGGUGAAAUGCUUAGAUAUGACAUAGAACACCAAUUGCGAAGGCAGCUGGCUACACGAAUAUUGACACUGAUGCACGAAAGCGCGGGGAUCAAACAGG
rnacentral:rRNA from 1 species